rnacentral:rRNA from 1 species
CAGUGGGGAAUAUUGGACAAUGGGGGAAACCCUGAUCCAGCGAUGCCGCGUGGGUGAAGAAGGCCUUCGGGUUGUAAAGCCCUUUAGGUUGGGAAGAAGGUAGUUAGUGGAUAAUACUAAUUAUUUGACGGUACCGACAGAAUAAGCACCGGCAAACUCUGUGCCAGCAGCCGCGGUAAUACAGAGGGUGCGAGCGUUAAUCGGAUUUACUGGGCGUAAAGGGUGCGUAGGCGGUUGAAUGUGUGGAAUGUGAAAGCCCCGGGCUUAACCUGGGAAGUGCAUACCAAACUAUUUAACUGGAGUAGAUGAGAGGGUGGCGGAAUUUCCGGUGUAGCGGUGAAAUGCGUAGAGAUCGGAAGGAACGUCAAUGGCGAAGGCAGCCACCUGGCAUCAUACUGACGCUGAGGCACGAAAGCGUGGGGAGCGAACAGGAUUAGA